rnacentral:rRNA from 1 species
GUGUCAGCCGCCGCGGUAAGACGAACCGUGCGAACGUUAUUCGGAAUCACUGGGCUUAAAGGGCGCGUAGGCGGGCCGAAAAGUCAGGGGUGAAAUCCUCCAGCCCAACUGGAGAAGCGCCUUUGGUACUGUCGGCCUCGAGGGGUGCAGGGGCAUGCGGAACUCAGGGUGGAGCGGUGAAAUGCGUAGAUAUCCUGAGGAACACCGGUGGCGAAAGCGGCGUGCUGGACACCUUCUGACGCUGAGGCGCGAAAGCCAGGGGAGCGAACGGGAUUAGAUACCCCUGUAGUCC